rnacentral:misc_RNA from 1 species
AAAGUCGUAACAAGGUCUCCGUAGGUGAACCUGCGGAGGGAUCAUCAAAGAAUUUCCAAAACCACAAAGUGUUCCUCUCCUCUCCUUUGGUUGGGGGGGGAGUGAAUGCUUUCAAACAAACGAUCACAACUAACUAUGGGAAAUUGGAUUGGAUUGGAUUGGAAACUAAAAAAAGUGUUUGCCUGAUAAUUUGAUUGAUUGGAAAAAAAAGAGAAAAAUACAACUUUCAACAACGGAUCUCUUGGCUCUC